UUAGAAAAAUCAAUUGACCAAAUGGCCUUGGGCCCAAAACAUGAAGGCCAAGAGAGUGGGAGAGGUAAGAUGAAGUUCAUUCCAUGUUUUGUCUCAAUAUCACACUAUCACCUUCUAUUUGAGAUUUCCUCGUCGGUGGAGGAGGCGGCGGUGUGAACCACAUCACACACUGUCACCACCAAAUUGAACCUCCCAACGCCCUUUCUUCCAAUCCAUCCUCAAUUUCAUCCAACGCCUCAUAAAAGUAUCAAAAUCGAGCUAAUGGUCGAAGAACCCUAUGGUGUAGAAUAUGAAAUUAAACACCACCGAAGGGGAAUCCAAGCCAGCAAUUAGAGGGCUUCGAUUCCCCUCCCUCUAAACUACAUUGCGGUGGAUGUUUUAACGUGUAUAGAAGACUAAAGAGGAAGAAGCUUACCUGCCGGAGCAACUUCGACGGUUCUUCAAGAUGUUGACGUUGAUAAAAAGGAUAUCCAAAAGCCUUAUAUUCCUUUGGCUGAACAUGAUGGGCCUAAAAGGAAACCAUGGCCUUCAUUCUAUUUGACUUCUGAAUCUGUUUCCAUUGUAACACCCUCAUUAGAUUUUCCAUAAAUUCCUGUACCAUUUUUAUCAUCAAAGGAUGCAAUCGUAUGGAUGAUUUCAAUGAUAAUAUUAACACCAGUGCUUCUCCAUGAAGACACGUGACGUAGAAGUUCCUCCACAUUACCAAAGGAACAAAACCCUCAUUCAUAGCUAAGACAUACUUUUUUCUAGUGAAAAUACCGACAAGGAACCACAGCGAUGAAGAUUCUCUAACAGCCUCUAAACCUUUGGCAUUGAGACAAAAGGCCCUAAGACGAUUUGGAAUGCAUGUCAAACCCUUUAAUGAAGGAAGUAGUUCAUAUCCAACUAACGACAAAAAAGCAUCAGGAAGACCCGUAUCGUGCAAAAUACACAAACAUGUAGGAUCUCUAUGGAUUAUUUCAAUCAUAAUAGUAACAGUUGGGUAAUAAACACCACAUCCACACUUAUCUACAUUCUGGAACAUUAAGCUUAGAGUAGCAGGAAAUGAAUUAUUAUUAGAAUAUUGAGAUCUUGUAGUGCUUGUAGGUGCAUAUGUUGCAAAACCAAGUUCCUUGAGGGAGACCUUUAUGAGUCUCUUAUGCGAGUAUAACUGAUCAGUAUUAUGCCUUGAGCUUUUGUUGUAUUCAUCUAUCUGAUUCGAGGAAGCCGAAUGAUUAUUUGUUACUUGCCCUUAUAUUCUGAUGUAUUCUUCACGAGUGAUUAUGUAUGCAAAAAAAAAUUUGUGCUAAUAAUUCAUAUGACAUGAUUCCCAGCCUAGCAGAUUGACAACAAAAAAUGUAUUCCAGGUUAGGUGCAGCUCUUCCUUUCAGUCUCUCAAAUAUGGGAUUUUCACUGCUAGCAGUAUUUGUAAUUGCAUUGGCUAAGUGCUUCUAGAAACUUACAUGGCUUCUUAGAGACUCCAAUAGGCUUAUUUUUUAUCAGAUCAUCUGCCCUCUCAGUGUAGUUUAUAAGUAUAUCUAUCAGAACAUAACCUUUAGGCACAAAAGUUCCAUUUCUUUGUAGUUUUACAUCCUACUGAUGAUUAAUGUCACAAAGUGUGAAGUGAUUGGCAUAUUUGCUGAAGUGACUCCGCACCAGUAGUCAUCAAGUGGAUUAUUGUUUGAAAUAUCAGUUUCAUGAACUGAAGACAUCUAAUUCCUUGAAAGAUCGGGAAAUAAGAAUUUUACAUUGGAAACACAAUCUUUUGCAGAUAACCUUGGAGGGAAAUGCAGACAUGAUUGACUAAACUUCAAUUCUACCAUAAGAAGAACAUGACAUUGAGAAACUUCUAAAAAUUGACCAACCUGAACCUACAUCCGCUAUUUUGAAGAGAAGUUCCAGUCCAAUAUAGAUGAAGUUAUAGAGGAGAACUCAACUGUUUGGUUAAAAUUCAGUAUAACUUAUGCUGAGAUACAAAGGUUUGAAACCAUUAUUAAUGAUUUCUUAUGAAGCACCGGUAUGGAUAUUGUGAAGAAGUACCAGUACCCGGUACUUGAUCGCUACUGGUACAUGCAGUGUACGUACCGUAACAGUACCUUAAUUUUUUUAAUUUAAAAUUUUGGUACUACAAUGGUAUGGCCGCGGUACUGUAGCGGUACUUAAAUACUAACUUAUUUUUUAAUUGGGCCUGAUCCAAUCUAUAAUCUAGGUUAUUUUAGGAUUUUAAAAUUUUUAUAUGAAUAUAAACCUAUGAUUGUGACAAUAGAAUACACUUCUUUCAUCUAUCAAAUCGGUAACGGCAUAAAACAUUA